UACGAAGGGGGCUAGCGUUGUUCGGAAUUACUGGGCGUAAAGGGCGCGUAGGCGGCUUGACAAGUCAGGCGUGAAAGCCCCGGGCUUAACCUGGGAGGUGCGCUUGAGACUGUUAGGCUUGAGAGUGGGAGAGGAUGGUGGAAUUCCCAGUGUAGAGGUGAAAUUCGUAGAUAUUGGGAAGAACACCAGUGGCGAAGGCGGCCAUCUGGCCCACCACUGACGCUGAGGCGCGAAAGCGUGGGGAGCAAACAGG
rnacentral:rRNA from 1 species